rnacentral:piRNA from 1 species
AUCAGGACAGUGAAAGUGUUAGAAGA